rnacentral:rRNA from 1 species
GCCUUUAUGGGUAGGGCUUCACACGUCAUACAAUGGUACAUACAGAGGGCCGCCAACCCGCGAGGGGGAGCUAAUCCCAGAAAGUGUAUCGUAGUCCGGAUCGCAGUCUGCAACUCGACUGCGUGAAGUUGGAAUCGCUAGUAAUCGCGGAUCAGCAUGUCGCGGUGAAUACGUUCCCGGGUCUUGUACACACCGCCCGUCACACCAUGGGAGCGGGUUUUACCAGAAGUAGGUAGCUUAACCGCAAGGAGGGCGCUUACCACGGUAGGAUUCGUGACUGGGGUGAAGUCGUAACAAGGUAGCCGUAGA